rnacentral:rRNA from 1 species
ACGGGAGGCAGCAGUGGGGAAUAUUGCACAAUGGGCGCAAGCCUGAUGCAGCCAUGCCGCGUGUAUGAAGAAGGCCUUCGGGUUGUAAAGUACUUUCAGUCGUGAGGAAGGUUCAUGCGUUAAUAGCGUAUGGAUUUGACGUUAGCGACAGAAGAAGCACCGGCUAACUCCGUGCCAGCAGCCGCGGUAAUACGGAGGGUGCGAGCGUUAAUCGGAAUUACUGGGCGUAAAGCGCAUGCAGGUGG